rnacentral:rRNA from 1 species
AUAUCAAUAAGCGGAGGAAAAGAAACCAACAGGGAUUGCCUCAGUAACGGCGAGUGAAGCGGCAACAGCUCAAAUUUGAAAUCUGACUUCGGUCCGAGUUGUAAUUUGUAGAGAGCAUUUGGAAAGCGAUGUUGGCCUAAGUCCCUUGGAACAGGGUGUCAUAGAGGGUGAGAAUCCCGUAUGUGGCCAUGCGUCAAUUUCAUGUCAAAUCUCUUCGACGAGUCGAGUUGUUUGGGAAUGCAGCUCAAAAUGGGUGGUAAAUUUCAUCUAAAGCUAAAUACCGGCCAGAGACCGAUAGCGCACAAGUAGAGUGAUCGAAAGAUGAAAAGCACUUUGGAAAGAGAGUUAAACAGUACGUGAAAUUGUUGAAAGGGAAGCGCUUGCCUUUAGACCGAUCUUCAGGCUGCAGUUUAGAGGCAACUCUGGAUGUAAAGCACCUGUUCUUCGGCCAGCAUCGGUUUAGGUGGUUUGACAAAACCCGUAAGAACGUAGCUCUUUGGAGUGUUAUAGCUUAUGGUAUAAUGAAGCCUACCUGGACCGAGGACCGCGCUUCGGCUAGGAUGCUGGCGUAAUGAUGGCAAGCGACCCGUCUUGAAACACGGACCAAGGAGUCAAUCGUUUAAGCGAGUGUUUGGGUGUUAAACCCAUACGCGUAAUGAAAGUGAAUGGAGGUCAGAACCUCUCUGAGGCGCAUGAUCGACCGAAUCAGAAGUUUACGGAUGGUUUUGAGUAAUAGCUUCAAUGAUUGGACCCGAAAGAUGGUGAACUAUGCGUGAAUAGGGUGAAGCCAGAGGAAACUCUGGUGGAGGCUCGCAGCGGUUCUGACGUGCAAAUCGAUCGUCAAAUUUGCGCAUAGGGGCGAAAGACCAAUCGAACUAUCUAGUAGCUGG